rnacentral:rRNA from 1 species
GCCAGACUCCUACGGGAGGCAGCAGUGGGGAAUAUUGCACAAUGGGGGAAACCCUGAUGCAGCGACGCCGCGUGAGUGAAGAAGUAUUUCGGUAUGUAAAGCUCUAUCAGCAGGGAAGAAAUAGCGACCUUUGGGUCGCCAGACGGUACCUGAUUAAGAAGCCCCGGCUAACUACGUGCCAGCAGCCGCGGUAAUACGUAGGGGGCAAGCGUUAUCCGGAUUUACUGGGUGUAAAGGGAGCGUAGACGGCAUAGCAAGUCUGAAGUGAAAGCCCAAGGCUCAACCAUGGGACUGCUUUGGAAACUGCCAGGCUGGAGUGUCGGAGGGGUAAGCGGAAUUCCUAGUGUAGCGGUGAAAUGCGUAGAUAUUAGGAGGAACACCAGUGACGAAGGCGGCUUACUGGACGACUACUGACGCUGAGGCUCGAAAGCGUGGGGAGCAAACAGGAUUAGAUACCCCCGUAGA